rnacentral:misc_RNA from 1 species
GAUGAAGAACGCAGCGAAAUGCGAUACGUAAUGUGAAUUGCAGAAUUCAGUGAAUCAUCGAGUCUUUGAACGCACAUUGCGCCCCCUGGUAUUCCGGGGAGCAUGCCUGUUCGAGCGUCAUUACAACCCUCAAGCUCUGCUUGGUGUUGGGCCCCGCCGCCCCGGCGGGCCCUAAAGUCAGUGGCGGUGCCGUCCGGCUCCGAGCGUAGUAAUUUUUCUCGCUUUGGAGGCCCGGGCGCGUGCUCGCCAUCAACCCCCAAUUUUUUUCAGGUUGACCUCGGAUCAGGUAGGGAUACCCGCUGAACUUAAGCAUAUCAAUAAGCGGAGGA